rnacentral:rRNA from 1 species
CGGGACGGGUGAGUAACGCGUGGGUAACCUGCCUUGUACUGGGGGACAACAGUUAGAAAUGACUGCUAAUACCGCAUAAGCGCACAGUAUCGCAUGAUACAGUGUGAAAAACUCCGGUGGUACAAGAUGGACCCGCGUCUGAUUAGCUAGUUGGUAAGGUAACGGCUUACCAAGGCGACGAUCAGCAGCCGACCUGAGAGGGUGACCGGCCACAUUGGGACUGAGACACGGCCCAA